rnacentral:sRNA from 2 species
UUUAGGUUUGUGCCUAAGCGCCCGUGCUAUCAGAACGGGGGAACCAGUAAAGGGGCGUAUUUCCGAGUUCUUAAUACCCAAUUGAGGGUAAUCGGAAGAGGACAUCUCUCAGUCCUAGCCCGUCAGCUAACCUCGUCGGCAUUGAGGGGAGAUUGA